UUCCUGGUGGCCCAGUGGGUAAGACUCUGCACUCCCAAUGCAGGAGGCCUGGGUUUGAUUCCUGGUCAAGGAA
rnacentral:tRNA from 1 species